rnacentral:rRNA from 1 species
UACGUAGGGGGCAAGCGUUGCUCGGAAUUACUGGGCGUAAAGGGCGCGUAGGCGGAAUGGCAAGUCGGUCGUGAAAUCCUUCGGCUCAACCGAAGAACGUCGAUCGAAACUGCCGUUCUUGAGGAUUGCAGAGGAGACUGGAAUUCCCGGUGUAGCGGUGAAAUGUGUAGAGAUCGGGAGGAACACCGGUGGCGAAGGCGGGUCUCUGGGACGGUACUGACGCUGAGACGCGAAAGCGUGGGGAGCGAACAGG